rnacentral:rRNA from 1 species
UACAGAGGGUGCAAACGUUGUUCGGAAUUACUGGGCGUAAAGCGAGUGUAGGCGGUUUCCUAAGUCGGAUGUGAAAGCCCCGGGCUCAACCCGGGAAGUGCAUUCGAAACUGGGAGGCUAGAGUGUCGGAGAGGUUGGUGGAAUUCUCGGUGUAGAGGUGAAAUUCGUAGAUAUCGAGAGGAACACCGGUGGCGAAGGCGGCCAACUGGACGAACACUGACGCUGAGACUCGAAAGCGUGGGGAGCAAACAGG